UUACCAUGCAGUCGAGCGGUAAGGCCCUUUCGGGGGUACACGAGCGGCGAACGGGUGAGUAACACGUGGGUGAUCUGCCCUGCACUCUGGGAUAAGCCUGGGAAACUGGGUCUAAUACCGGAUAUGAGCUCCUGUCGCAUGGCGGGGGUUGGAAAGGUUUACUGGUGCAGGAUGGGCCCGCGGCCUAUCAGCUUGUUGGUGGGGUAAUGGCCUACCAAGGCGACGACGGGUAGCCGGCCUGAGAGGGCGACCGGCCACACUGGGACUGAGACACGGCCCAGACUCCUACGGGAGGCAGCAGUGGGGAAUAUUGCACAAUGGGCGAAAGCCUGAUGCAGCGACGCCGCGUGAGGGAUGACGGCCUUCGGGUUGUAAACCUCUUUCAGCAGGGACGAAGCGAAAGUGACGGUACCUGCAGAAGAAGCACCGGCCAACUACGUGCCAGCAGCCGCGGUAAUACGUAGGGUGCGAGCGUUGUCCGGAAUUACUGGGCGUAAAGAGCUCGUAGGCGGUUUGUCGCGUCGUCUGUGAAAACCCGCAGCUCAACUGCGGGCUUGCAGGCGAUACGGGCAGACUUGAGUACUGCAGGGGAGACUGGAAUUCCUGGUGUAGCGGUGAAAUGCGCAGAUAUCAGGAGGAACACCGGUGGCGAAGGCGGGUCUCUGGGCAGUAACUGACGCUGAGGAGCGAAAGCGUGGGUAGCGAACAGGAUUAGAUACCCUGGUAGUCCACGCCGUAAACGGUGGGCGCUAGGUGUGGGUUUCCUUCCACGGGAUCCGUGCCGUAGCUAACGCAUUAAGCGCCCCGCCUGGGGAGUACGGCCGCAAGGCUAAACUCAAAGGAAUUGACGGGGGCCCGCACAGCGGCGGAGCAUGUGGAUUAAUUUCGAUGCAACGCGAAGAACCUUACCUGGGUUUGACAUAUAACCGGAAACACCCUAGAGAUAGGUGCCCCCUUGUGUCGGUAUACAGGUGGUGCCAUGGGCUGUCGUCAGCUCUCGGUCCUGGAGAUGUUGGGGUUAAGUUCCCGCCACCAAGCGCAAUCCUUUGGUCCUUGGUUGUGCAGGCCGUAUUGGCCGGGAAUCUGCAAGGAAACUGUCCGGGGUCAAACCUCCUGAGGGG
rnacentral:rRNA from 1 species